rnacentral:rRNA from 1 species
CCUACGGGAGGCAGCAGUGAGGAAUAUUGGUCAAUGGCCGGAAGGCUGAACCAGCCAUGCCGCGUGAAGGUCAGUGCCCUAUGGGCGUUAAACUUCUUUUGUGCGGGAGCAAUAAUGGUCACGUGUGGCCAGACGAGAGUACCGUACGAAUAAGCAUCGGCUAACUCCGUGCCAGCAGCCGCGGUAAUACGGGGGAUGCAAGCGUUAUCCGGACUUAUUGGGUUUAAAGGGGGCGUAGGCUGUGAGGUAAGUCAGCGGUGAAAUGCCCCCGCUCAAAGGGGUGAAGUGCAAUUGAUACUGCCUGGCUGGAAUGCGGAUGCGGUGGGAGGAAUGUGUGGUGUAGCGGUGAAAUGCAUAGAUAUCACACAGAACACCGAUUGCGAAGGCAUCUCACGAAUCCGCGAUUGACGCUGAUGCACGAAAGCGUGGGUAUCAAACAGGAUUAGAUACCCCUGUAGUC